CCCGCCUUCUAGAGCUCAACUAUGGGUCCCGCAAGUAAAAGUUUUCCCUGGCGGAGGACGCAUGCGCACGCACUUCGCGCAGCCGUUAACGUCGGGCUUGCGCUCGGGUGCGCGCCCGGAUGCAGAGGGCGUCUGUGUCAGUGGCUGUCGCGUGCAAUGCCGACGUAUCCCGGCACCACCUUCAGGCAUUCGGGUUUCCCGGCGUAGAUUUGUAAUAAAGCGGAACUUCUCCGGUGAUUUGUUUUGGACGGUGGCUCUGUGCGCUUCUUUCAUUGGUGCCGAAACCCGGGAGGGAGAUCCCUCCUCAUUUGAGGACCCCCUCCAUCCACCCAGCCAAAGCUUCUCGCCCUCCUCCACCUUCUCCAGCGCUGGCUACCCUCCAACCAUCACCGGCCAACUGUUAGGCUAAAGCCAGUCUCCAGUUCCCCGGGCCCUGAAGAAGUCGCCUGGAGUCUUCAGUGACACCUUCCUGCGGACCUCAAACAAAAUAUUCUUGCUCUCCCUCUCCUCAUAACCCCUUAAAGCUUCAUUUUUCCCACGUCUCCCUUCUUGAGCCAGUUCCUGAACAUGAUCCAUGUUAGUCCAGCCCUAACCCCUAUCCUCCUACCCCUUCUCCUUAUGCCCCUCUUAAUAACCUCCACACCUUUUGUGUGGAGAUUUAAGGUGAGGCAAACAUACACAGAAAAGAACGCCAAGACCACCUCUCUGGCAGCAACAGCCGACUGUCCCCUGAUGGGUUGCUCUAGCGUUAUUCAUAUCUCAAUUCCCCUGACUACCAAGCUAUUUCAACAGGCUACCCGCCCCUACCUUUGCUUUUUAUACGAUCAAACCCGAGAUUACUGCAAAUGGUGGCCUGACACCUAUGGAGGCUGCCCAUAUUGGUCUUGCAGGGUUCAUGAUGCCUUUUUGGGACAGCUGAACAUAGGCAUCUUUUCCUACGAUAGCAAUGCCCACACCUACAAUCUCACCAUCAAGGACUCAUGGGAUCCUCGGUGGGCUUCGGGAGUAACUGCUUCCGUUUACUGUAAUGGAUAUUCUCGCACUCCAUGUGGAUCCCUCCACAUAUCUCGGGAAUAUGUCUCCAUAGGCACCCAGGUGUCUUAGGUAUCCUCUGACAUCAAGCAUUCAGAAAAAAUCAUCACGCAGGCCUUACAAAAUUCCUCCUCCUCUUCUGACUCAUUUUACUCCUGGCUUCAGAUACUAAAAGACACCAUUGGACUCCUCAAUCACAUCUUUCCCACUAUUAGCCGAUUGUUUUCUUUGCACUUCUCUAAACCGACCUCUGCUAGCUGCGGUUCCCCUAAAUGCUACAAGCUACACAUUCCCUUCUCAGGAGUCUUCCAUAAAACAUUUUUCUCACAUCCCCUUGUGGGAACCUGAGGACAUCUCCUCCCACUCACCUCCCCGAACCUGCAUCUACGGAACCCAAACCCAAGCUGCUCCUUCCAUGACCUGUGCCAUUAACAUCACUCUUAACAGAGCUACUUAUGCCCAACCCAGACAUUUCUUUUGGUGUAACAGAAGAAGCCUCACAAAUGUCCUCUUUAAGAACUUAACCUCCCCUUGUGUCCUUGUUACAAUUGUUCCACUGUUAACCCUUUACAGCAGCUCAGAACUUCGGUUCCUUAUGUCCCCACCCUCACGUGCUAAGCGCGCAGCUUUCCUACCCAUACUGGUUGGUGUUUCAUUGACCACUUCCCUUUCUGGGACGGGUCUAUCAGGAGGUGCUCUUGCCCACUCCUUAUGGGCUGUUGAGGAUAUCAACACCCAGCUGGAAAGCGCUCUCUCCUCUACUGCCUCCUCCCUUGCCUCUCUGCAAAAGCAGGUAACCUUCUUGGCCCAGGUGACUCUCUAGAAUCGCCGGGCUCUGGACCUCCUUACAGCCGAAAAAGGGGGAACCUGUAUAUUCCUUCAAGAAGAAUGUUGCUAUUAUAUUAAUGAAUCCAGCCUAGUGGAACAAAAUAUCGUCAAAUUACGUAAUUUAGCAGCAGACCUACAAAGACCCCCCCCAUUCCCCAUUCUCCUUGUGGUUCCAGUCUCCCCUUCUAACAUGGGUAUGGCCCAUUCUAGGACCAUUAUCCAUCGUUUUUCUCACCUGUCUCUUUAUACCCUGUAUCAUUAAGUUCCUUCAGAACCAAGUGGGUAAAAUCUCUAACCAGGCUUUUAACCAGCUUCUCCUCAGGAAUUAUCAGCUACUGGCAACAGGUGAGCCCAGCGCCUCCUCUCAGGAACACCUCACUACCUGUUGAGGGAGCUGUAACCAACCUAUGGACCUCCUUCCUAGUGGCCCUCCAUCAGGACGCCUGGCUUAUUCCACCUGUCUACCACCUAGAGGAAUGGAAUGAAGCAAUGCAGGACCUCUGGCUACAGGGAACAUUUUGUGACUUUAGUCCCCAACAGAUCUUCCCUUUUUCAGCCUUGUUAUGGGACUUCUUGACCAUGUUCCUCCCAAUUCCCGCACCCCGUCCCUGACUCCGCCCCCAUCCAGCAGGAAGUAGCCGGACUGAACUACGCCCCCUUCCAAUAUAAAACAAGAAAGGGAGGACUAUAAGGUCACCUCCCACCCCAGGUGCCAACAUGGCGCUGGCCAAGCUUCUCUUCCUGAUUUUACUCCUCAUAACUUCUUCCCCCCCGGGGCGAACCUGCAGCAUAUCAGCCCUUGCCACCCUGUUCCAGGACCUCAGCAAUAGGGCCCUGUCCAAUCAACUGCCACCCCGCCUCUCUCCCUGAACUAUUAGCUCUUCCCAGCCCUAUAAAAGAGCAUGCAUUUUCAGAAUAAAGCGGAACUUCUCCGGUGAUUUGCUUUGGACAGUGGCUCCGUGCGCUUCUUUCACCAAGACCACUAUAUGUCUCCUUGUGUCGCAUGUCUGAGCUGAGGAGACUGACUCAAUGUUCCUUUCUUUAUAAGUUGGCACAUCGAAGUGAGCUUUAAAGCUCUACUUGGCACCCACAAAAUGUUUUCUUAGGGGUUCAUCAGCCUUAAGUAGUUUUCCAUCUCUUCUGGAAGCUUAGCUCAGGAUGAUCAUCCCAUCAAAAAUACGGUUUAGAGAUCUUGCAAUUCUAGUGAACAGGAAAAUUACCCAGAACAGACCCAGUAGACUACAGGAGAACAGACGUUAUCAGUUAAACCAGAAAUGUGCCCAGAGCCAAAGUGGAAGUCACCACACAGAGAUAACAGCCAUUUCAGCUUCUGAAAUCAGGCUUUGCCACAAGCUUCCUGCCUCGUCCUAGGUGCUUUACCAAUUUUGUAUCCACCUAUUAGUAGCCAGUGCCACUCUGUAACCUGAUCUCCUGCACUACCUUAUCUCCUUGUAACCUGAUCUCCUGCACUGCAUUGUAACUCCACUGCUUGGGUUUCAGAAUUUUCCAGUGUGUGCUCCUCGUGUCUGCCAGCAUAAAUAAACCCAAG